CCAGUUUUAUAGCAAACUUCAAUUCCUUGCUAAAGUAAACCCCUACAAAGGUACCAGUCGGGAAGAUCAGACUAGACCUUUUCGAAGUCGGAAGCAGGUCAGAAUUCUAGCUUCCUCUAUUUAGUUAGGAAAGCCAGAAGUCAUGAUAUUUAGUUAACACGACCUUAGGCCUAACUGUCAGUCUUCAAGAAGCAAGUAGAUAAUCUCCCAUCUCUUGAUCUGGGGGAACAUAGUCAGGAAAGAGAAGCCCAUUCCUAAUCCCUGCUUCUAAAGCCCGUAUCUUGCUCAAAAAAGUUUUUUCAAGACCGGAGUCAAGGCAGUUUGAACCCCAGCUAGUAUUGAGAUUGAGAGCCGUAAAGAGUCCGGAGAUCAGUCAUUCGACUUAGGAAUCCCGUCCAACUUCAGAUAAGGUAAGAUAAGGUAGGAAAGCUACAAACCAGUCUUAAUUCCUGCAGACUAAGAUUCAGUUUCAAGUCCCAAGGGAUUCAAUCCAAACACUCAUAGAUUCUAUGCCCGCCUCUGCUCUGAUGUUCCAACCCUGAAGUCACUUCCUUUAGAGUUGAGUUCAAAGUUACAGCCUUUAGUAGAUAAGCCGGAGUUAACUCAUGAUAACUCUUAGCCCUGACUUCCGAUGAAUGAGAAGUCUAGUUAGGCAGUGGAAACCCUGGGAAGUCAGGAAGUUCAAGUUAGAGGGCAUAUUCAUAUGAAAUAGCAUAUGAUGAGAUUGGUCAAUCUUUCUCAUUGCUUGACUAAAGAAUGCAUUUUAUGGCUCUAGCACUCCCGUCAUGAGACGUAGAAGCAAAAAAAAGAAAAAGCCUAGGCUGAUCAUCCAAACACCCAUUGAUUCAGAUCCUUAUCGGCUAGAAUAAAGGCCUUAAAAUCUUCUCAUAUUUAGAAUCUGGUAACUGACUGAGAAUUGAUAGUCUUCUAAGGAAGUCUAAGUGACAGAGGAUCUAGUAAGGAAAGGAACCUACCUUUCUCGUUUGUGACCCAUGCCUAUGGGUCACUUAACUCCUAGAGCAUAAAGGCAGCAAGUGAAGUUAGAAUCUUUCUCUAUUGUUGCAUUCCCUUCCGGGAUACAGAGCAGAAUCUAUUGAUACAAGAAAUUCCUUAGAAAGAGCUGCCCGAGAUCACUACAUCUAUCUCUUGAACUCAGCUCCUAUUCACAUCCUUCCCGUGGGAACGACUAUAGAGGACAGCCCCAGAGAACUCAAUCUAGCUAUUGUUGAGCUCAUCCCGCCUAUUCUAUUCCUAGGUCCUGCGGAGGACCUCCGAGUCCCCAUUGAUUCUACUCCAAUUCCAGUAUCUGGCUGUUCUUCAUCUUACCCGGGAGGAAGUCGAGGACAGAGUUGCAGCUUUAGAUGAAAGAUUGAUCUUUCUAUUCGAAUACAAGGCCCUACGCCUUAUGGCUUGAGGAGAUUAAUAUAGUUGAGCUGCAAGCAUCCUGAGAUUUCACUGCUAGGAAGUUUUAAGCAAACAUCUCAUUUUUCGUUCCUGGCCUAGCUGAAGGAGGGUAAAUUAGGCAUUGAUUCGAACUUCAAUACUGGGCGCCUCUAUGAACCCUAGGAAGUUACUGAGUUGGUUGCCCUUAGUCUUGUUCAAGUUAGAGGAUUUCAACACUGUUGAAAUGACGUCUAUAGAGAUGAAAAGAUUGAAAGCUCGAAAUCGGUUACGCAACAGGCUAAGCCAGAAAGGAAGAGAGAUUGCUAUUGUUGUUAGCAGUUACAGCAGAGACAGAGAUAAAAGCGUAAGAAGCCCAAGAACCUUUUGGCCGCCUUUAGGUCUUCUUACCCGGAUCAAAUUGAACUUCGAACAAUCGUAACUUUAAAGAGAAAGAAUCUGACUUCAAUCCUAUUGGCUUUCAACUCCCAAUUAUACCUAGGAAUGAAAUCAAUUAGACUUCCACGGAAGUCAGACUGAGGAAAUAGUUGCAGCUCUUUCUCUUGAGUUAGAGGGAGAAAUCUCAAAUUCUUACUUUCUCUUUGCUAAGGUGCGCAGCCUAAGCAUCAAUCUCAAAUGAUUGGCUUUCGACUCCUAUUUCCAGGAUUGAGUAAGAUUGACUUCGAUUUCAUUCGUUUCAGUAUUUCAGUAGAGCCUGUAAUCAGUAUAUUUUGUUUAGGAUUGACUGAUUUUUAGUCUUUACCAGGAUGGAAUUAAAGUCUUUAUUGAAUUUCAUCAUUUCCUUUAGAAUGAAGUUAAGGAUUGAAUUCCUUUAAGUCAGAAUUGAAGUAUAGCCUUAAGCAAUAAAUGAAGUCAAGUAAUUUCUUACCGAUUUUCACUCUCUUGCUGCGCUCCUCAGUUUUCAGUCGGAGAUGCGUAAUCUGAGCUAAAUGCCUAUGUUUGCUGAGAUUCCUCGCCCUUCACUUUUAAGGCUAUGCCAUCCUAAGGUGCUGCUAAAUGGAUGGAUCUUAUCAACGUCCAUGAAUGAUAAAUCAUAGAUCGAACCGCCGAAUCGGAAAAAUUGGGUGCUAUCAUAAAGCUUUGUAUCGGCUAAGUUCACGAGUUGGAGAUAAGCGGACUCGAACCGCUGACAUCCGCCGCAGGGUAAACCACCGCCUCUCAGGUCCCCCGACUGAUUCUACCAUGAAGUAGACCUAUAAGGAGAAAAGGAAGUGUUGUCCCUCCUAAUUAUGAUUCAAUAUUUAUCUUGAUCUAUUCUAGAUGUCUUUUUUACAUUAAUUGCAUUAGCUGGAGCUUGCACCGAAUUGCUUACCCGCGGAACUCAUUUAACCCGACCCUUCAUAAGUACCAAUGCCCCUUCCCCUUUCACCUCUAGGAAAAACUUCUGGGAUGAUCCCUUCUCAAAGAGGUAUCCUUUCAAUAGGAGCACAGUGUACCCCAGUUUUAUAGCAAACUUCAAUUCCUUGCUAAAGUAAACCCCUACAAAGGUACCACUUGGGAAGAUCAAACUAGACCUUUUCAAAGUCAGAAGCAGGUCAGAAUUUUAGCUUCCUUUAUUUAGUUAGGAAAGCCAGAAGUCAUGAUAUUUAGUUAACACGACCUUAGGCCUAACUGUCAGUCUUCAAGAAGCAAGUAGUUAAUCUCUCAUCUCUUGAUCUGGGGGAACAUACUCAGGAAAGAGAAGCCCAUUCCUAAUCCCUGCUUCUAAAGCUCGUAUCUUGCUCAAAAAAGUUUUUCAAGACCGGAGUCAAGGCAAUUUGAACCCCAGCUAAUAUUGAGAUUGAGAGCCGUAAAGAGUCCAGAGAUUAGUCAUUCGACUUAGGAAUCCCAUCCAACUUUAGAUAAGGUAGGAAAGCUACAAACUAGUCUUAAUUCCUGCAGACUAAGUUUUAUUUUCAAGUCCCAAGGGAUUCAAUUCAAACACUCAUAGAUUCUAUGCCCACCUCUGCUCCGAUGUUCCAACCCUGAAGUCACUUCCUUUAGAGUUGAGUUCAAAGUUACAGCUUUAGUAGAUAAGCCAGAGUUAACUCAUGAUAACUCUUAGCCCUGACUUCUGAUGAAUGAGAAGUCUAGUUAGGUAGUCGAAACCCUAGGAAGUCAAGAAGUUCAAGUUAGAGGGCAUAUUUAUAUGAAAUAGCAUAUGAUGAGAUUGGUCAAUAUUUCUCAUUGCUUGACUAAAUAAUGCAUUUUAUGGCUCUAGCACUCCCGUCAUGACAUGUAGAAACAAAAAAAAAAGAAAAAACCUAGGCUGAUCAUCCAAACACCCAUUCAUUCAUAUCCUUAUCGGCUAGAAUAAAGGCCCUAAAAUCUUCUCAUAUUUAGAAUCUGGCAACUGACUGAGAAUUGAUAGUCUCCUAAGAAAGUCUAAGUGACAGAUGAUCUAAUAAGGAAAGGAACCUACUUUCUCAUUUGUGACCCAUGCCUAUGGGUCACUUAACUCCUAGAGCAUAAAGGCAGCAAGUAAAGUUAGAAUCUUUCUCUAUUAUUGCAUUCCCUUACGGGAUACAGAGCAAAAUCUAUUGAUACAAGAAAUUUCUUAGAAAGAGUUGCCCGAGAUCACUAUAUCUAUCUCUUGAACUUAUCUCCUAUUCACAUCUAUCCCGUGGGAACGACUAUAGAAAACAGCCCCAGAGAACUCAAUCUAGCUAUUGUUGAGCUCAUCGCGCUUAUUCUAUUCCUAGGUCCUGCAGAGGACCUCCGAGUCCCUAUUGAUUCUACUUCAAUUCCAGUAUUUGGCUAUUCUUCAUCUUACCCGGGAGGAAGUCGAGGACAGAGUUGCAGCUUUAGAUGAAAGAUUGAUCUUUUUAUUCAAAUACAAUGCCUUACGCUUUAUGGCUUGAGGAUAUUAAUAUAGUUGAGCUGCAAGCAUCCUGAGAUUGCACUGAUAGGAAGUUUUAAGUAAACAUCUCAUUUUUCAUUUUUGGCUUAGCUGAAGAAGGGUAAAUUAGCCAUUGAGUCAAACUUUAACACUGUGCGCCUCUAUCAACCCUAGGAAUUUACUGAGUUGGUUUCCCUUAGUUUUGUUCAAGUUAGGGGAUUUCAACACUGUUGAAAUAACGCCUAUAGAGAUGAAAAGAUUGGAAGCUCAAAAUCGGUUACGCAACAGGCUAAGCUAGAAAGGAAGAGAGAUUACUAUUGUUGUUAGUAGUUACAGCAGAGAUAGAGAUAAAAGUGUAAGAAGCCCAAGAACCUUUAGUCCUCCUUUAGGUAUUCUUACCCGGAUCAAAUUGAACUUCGAACAAUCGUAACUUUAAAGAGAACGACUCUGACUUCAAUCCUAUUGGAUUUCAACUCCCAAUUAUGCCUAGUAAUGAAAUCAAUUAGAAUUCCAUGGAAGUCAGACUGAGGAAAUAGUUUCACCUCUUUCUCUUGAGUUAGAGGGAGAAAUCUCAAAUUCUUACUUUCUCUUUGCUAAGGUGCGCAGCCUAAGCAUCAAUCUCGAAUGAUU
rnacentral:lncRNA from 1 species